UACCUCAUGACCCAAACUGAAAAUGGUUAUGCAUAGGUGAAUGCAGCCUAUUAGAGAUCUAUCAAUGACCCCUAUGCACCAACCUACAAGCUAGGAUGGAGGAACUAUCCCAAUUUUUCUUGGUCACUAGGGUCAAACUCAAGUAGACCUACCUUCAAUCAGCCCAACCCCAUGCCCACUUAGUCACUGAAUAACCCACCA
rnacentral:lncRNA from 1 species